rnacentral:rRNA from 1 species
UACAUAGGGGCCAAGCGUUAUCCGGAUUUAUUGGGCGUAAAGCGCGUGUAGGUGGCUGAUUAAGUCAGGUGUUAAAUCUAGAAGCUCAACUUCUAACCGCACUUGAAACUGAUCGGCUUCGAGGUCGGGAGAGGAUAGUGGAACUCACAGUGUAGCGGUGAAAUGCGUAGAUAUUGUGAGGAACACCAGUGGCGAAGGCGACUAUCUGGACCGAAUCUGACGCUGAGACGCGAAAGCGUGGGGAG